rnacentral:rRNA from 1 species
AGCUCCAAUAGCGUAUAUUAAAGUUGUUGCAGUUAAAAAGCUCGUAGUUGGACCUGUGGUUGGGGCGGCCGGUCCGGCACUCUGUGCGGGUACCUGGCCUCCCCGGCCAUCCUUGGGUGGAAACUGUGUGGCAUUAGGUUGUCGUGCAGGGGAUGCCCAUCUUUUACUGUGAAAAAAUUAGAGUGUUCAAAGCAGGCUUAUGCCGUUGAAUAUAUUAGCAUGGAAUAAUGAGAUAGGACCUCGGUACUAUUUUGUUGGUUUGCGCACCGGGGUAAUGAUUAACAGGGACAGUUGGGGGUAUUCGUAUUCCAUUGUCAGAGGUGAAAUUCUUGGAUUUCUGGAAGACGAACUACUGCGAAAGCAUUUACCAAGGAUGUUUUCA